CCGUACAUGGAACUAGCUGUAGGGGGUAUCGACCCCUUCUGUAGCGAAGCUAACGCGUUACCCCUCCCGCCUGUGGAGUACGGUCGCAAGACUAAAACAUAAAGGAAUUGACGGGGACCCGCACAAGCGGUGGAUCAUGUUCUUUAAUUCGAUGAUAAACGAAGAACCUUACCAGGGUUUGACAUCCCGAGAAUUAAUCCGAAAGGAUUGAGUGCUUUAUUGAACUCGGUGACAGAUGUUGCAUGGCCGUCGUCAGCUCGUGUCGUGAGAUGUUUGGUUAAGUCCAUUAACGAGCGCAACCCUUGUGAAUAGUUGUAUUUUUCUAUUCAGACUGCCCCGGCAACGGGGAGGAAGGAGGGGAUGAUGUCAGGUCAGUAUUACUCUUACAUCCUGGGCUAGAAACGUGAUACAAUGGCAAGUACAAUGCGCAGCGAAGCCGUGAGGUGAAGCAAAUCGCAUCAAAGCUUGUCCCAGUUCGGAUAAGAGGCUGAAACUCGCCUCUUUGAAGUCGGAAUCGCUAGUAAUCGCAGGUCAGCAAACUGCGGUGAAUACGUUCCCGGGUCUUGUACACACCGCCCGUCAAGCCAUGAAAGUCACCAACACCCGAAGUCCGAUUCGUCGGCCUAAGGUGGGGGGGAUGAUUGGGGUUAAGUCGUA
rnacentral:rRNA from 1 species